rnacentral:rRNA from 1 species
AGAGUUUGAUCCUGGCUCAGGAUGAACGCUGGCGGCAUGCCUAAUACAUGCAAGUCGAACGAGAGGAAGGAAAGCUUGCUUUUCUGAAUCUAGUGGCGAACGGGUGAGUAACACGUAGGUAACCUGCCCAUGUGCCCGGGAUAACUUCUGGAAACGGAUGCUAAAACCGGAUAGGUAGCAGACAAGCAUUUGACUGCUAUUAAAGUGGCCUUGGCCAUGAACAUGGAUGGACCUGCGGUGCAUUAGCUGGUUGGUGAGGUAACGGCCCACCAAGGCGACGAUGCAUAGCCGGCCUGAGAGGGCGGACGGCCACAUUGGGACUGAGACACGGCCCAAACUCCUACGGGAGGCAGCAGUAGGGAAUUUUCGUCAAUGGGGGGAACCCUGAACGAGCAAUGCCGCGUGAGUGAGGAAGGUCUUCGGAUCGUAAAGCUCUGUUGUAAGAGAAAAACGGCACUCAUAGGGAAUGAUGAGUGAGUGAUGGUAUCUUACCAGAAAGUCACGGCUAACUACGUGCCAGCAGCCGCGGUAAUACGUAGGUGGCGAGCGUUAUCCGGAAUGAUUGGGCGUAAAGGGUGCGUAGGUGGCAGAUCAAGUCUGGAGUAAAAGGUAUGGGCUCAACCCGUACUGGCUCUGGAAACUGAUCAGCUAGAGAACAGAAGAGGACGGCGGAACUCCAUGUGUAGCGGUAAAAUGCGUAGAUAUAUGGAAGAACACCGGUGGCGAAGGCGGCCGUCUGGUCUGGAUUCUGACACUGAAGCACGAAAGCGUGGGGAGCAAAUAGGAUUAGAUACCCUAGUAGUCCACGCCGUAAACGAUGAGAACUAGGUGUUGGGGGAAUAACUCAGUGCCGCAGUUAACGCAGUAAGUUCUCCGCCUGGGGAGUAUGCACGCAAGUGUGAAACUCAAAGGAAUUGACGGGGGCCCGCACAAGCGGUGGAGUAUGUGGUUUAAUUCGA